rnacentral:rRNA from 1 species
AUGAACUAUGAAAAACCGGGGGUAGAGGAGAUCUUUUAUAAUAGCGAUUAUAUGUUUAGACACUUUAUUGGAAAUAAUCUAAUUUUCCAUGAGAAUCUUAAGAAGGAAAUUCCCUUUUUAGAUAUAAUCGAACAAGUUUUCAAUGAUGUUAAUCAACACUAUUAUUGGAUUAUUGCCGGAAAUCAAAGGGGAUAUGAUGAUAAACAACUUGAUAGUGCUAAAGUCUCCAUGGAUAAGGUGUUUUAUAUUGUUUUUGCAAAACCUCCUAAGAAAAACACCUCCAAAGGAAAUGAAACUAAAGAUGACAAUACUUAG